rnacentral:misc_RNA from 1 species
UGGCUCUCGCAUCGAUGAAGAACGCAGCGAAAUGCGAUAAGUAAUGUGAAUUGCAGAAUUCAGUGAAUCAUCGAAUCUUUGAACGCACCUUGCGCCCUCUGGUAUUCCGGAGGGCAUGCCUGUUUGAGUGUCAUGUAGACUCAACCCCCCGGGUCUUUCCCGGGGAGGUUCGGACAUGGGCGCUGCCGUCCCGGCUCGCCUCAAAUGCGUCAGUGGGAAAGGACCACGGCGGGAGUGAUAAGUCGUCUCUCUGCCCCCGGCCCCGGAACCGCUAACAACCACCAUCUUUUGACUCUGACCUCAAAUCAGGUAGGACUACCCGCUGA